UAGGGAAUCUUCGGCAAUGGGGGGAACCCUGACCGAGCAACGCCGCGUGAGUGAAGAAGGUUUUCGGAUCGUAAAGCUCUGUUGUUAAGGAAGAACGAGUGUGAGAAUGGAAAGUUCAUACUGUGACGGUACUUAACCAGAAAGGGACGGCUAACUACGUGCCAGCACCCGCGGUAAUAAUANGUCUCGAGCGUUGUCCGGAUUUAUUUUUUAUUGGGCGUAAAGCGAGCGCAGGCGGUUAAAAAAGUCUGAAGUGAAAGGCAGUGGCUCAACCAUUGUGNGNUUUGANACUGUUUANNUNAGGGGAAAAGGGGAAAAGGGAAUUCCCGUGUGUAGGGGUGAAAUGCGUAAAUAUAUGGAGAAACACCGGUGGCGAAAGCGGCUCUCUGGUCUGUAACUGACGCUGAGGCUCGAAAGCGUGGGGAGCGAACAGGAUUAGAUACCCUGGUAGUCCACGCCGUAAACGAUGAGUGCUAGGUGUUANGUCCUUUCCGGGACUUAGUGCCGCAGCUAACGCAUUAAGCACUCCGCCUGGGGAGUACGACCGCAAGGUUG
rnacentral:rRNA from 1 species